AUUGUUCAUGUUAUUCACAUUUUUUAAAGGACACUUUGUAGAUAUAACAUUUUCAUCAUGUAAUUUUACUUUUUCCACUGUUAUUAUUUUACCAGUCCAGCUCACUGGAGAUCAUGUUGAGUAAUAUGUGGCCCCAGAGUUAGAAAAAUCAAGUUAUACUGAUCAGUUUGACUUGGAAAAAUGUGCAGGGGUGAUUGCAAAAAAAAAAAAAAAAAAAAUCUCAAGCCUGAAAAUUUUUCUUCAGGUCAGGUCAUGAGGAAUGGGUCGUUGGUGGACUUACAUCCAGUAAUUUGU